AUGAAGGCACUCCUGAGCACAUACCUCCUCUUGGCCUUGCUUUCACCAGUGACACCUUUGAGGUGUAGAACAUGCUUUGGCUAUGGAGAAAAAUGUCAAGAUGAAGAUGUGAGGAUUGAGGAAUGCAGAUAUGACCAAGAUGCUUGCCUCGUCAUCACUGGUUAUUACUCAUUAUUGGAUUUGCCACUUUAUUUCACUUACAAGGGAUGUGCCAAGUACAACGAAUGUUACGAAGGCUAUUAUAGUUACACUUCCACAUAUCCUAAAUAC